GAAAUGCGAUAAGUAGUGUGAAUUGCAGAAUUCAGUGAAUCAUCGAAUCUUUGAACGCAUAUUGCGCCCUUUGGCAUUCCGAAGGGCAUACCUGUUCGAGCGUCAUUAUAAUCCUUAAGCUAUGCUUAGUGUUGAACGUUUUGUCCUCUAGUGUUAUGGACACGUUUCAAAAGUAUCGGCGUCGAUUAUUGGUCUUGCGCGUAGCAAAAUCUUUCGCAUAGAGAUCGGUACAUCGAUGGCCCCUAAUGGCACGUCGGGUUAUCUCGAUAUACUUUUAGAUUGACCUCGGAUCAGGUAGGGAUACCCGCUGAACUUAA
rnacentral:misc_RNA from 1 species